GGAUUGUCACCAUGUGACACCGGACGAGGCGGCACCGUACCCGGCCAGCGACAAGACGGAGCCUU
rnacentral:ncRNA from 1 species